AUGCGGUUUGGAACGCAGCCCCAGGUGUCCUUAACCUCCAGCGCCUUUCGUCCUCUCGUGCACGCGCACGAAUGCACGUCUGAGGCGGGAUCCUGUUACCAUGGCAAUUACGUCAACAUUGGUGUCGCGCGCGUGCGGUCGGGUAACUAAAGGUCAAACUAAAGACAAGCGACAGAGACGGAAGGAAGGAGAAUGGCGGAGACUCGGAAUUUGUGGCAGGGAGAACUGGAGGAAAUAAAAGAGUCAUAAAGUGUAGUGUAACCCGCGCUGAGUGCUGUGGAGAGGAGGAGAGGAGAGAGAGGAGGCGAACGGAAGGAGUAAAUGUUCAGAUGGAGAUCCUCAUCAUGUUCCUGGUUUAAAGGCAGAACGGGUCUAACUGUGUGUUUGGACUGCGCUUUGCUCUUUAGAUGGUGGCCCACGCUGCACUUUCACCCAUCUAAUUACUUCUCUUUUUUUCCUGUGUGAACAUGGACUGCACAUAUAGAUUGUGUGUGUGUGUGUGUGAGAGAGAGAGAGAGAGAGAACUGAGCCGGUUGUUCGUGACUGUAAACAUCCCCGACUGGAAGCUGUGUGUGAAGUGUUGAGCUUUCAGUUGGAUGUUUGCUGCCACUGACCACCACCACCACCACCACCACCACCAUCAGCCAUACUUUCUGGGGCGUUUCCAUUUGACUACUACAUAUCUUCAUGUUCAUCAGGCCGUGCAGAAUCCAAUCCGAGUGUGAAGCUGUUUAAAGAGAUACAAAGUGCUCAGAUUGUCCUGAAACAAGUGCAAGUUUGUAGAAAGAACAGAGGACAGAGUGCACCUCCUGAGUGUUACAAACACUAUAAAGGACAUUAAAAAAAAAAAAAAUCAUUUAUUUCCCUCUUCUUCUUCUUCUUCUUCUGGUGCGUGAUUAGUGACCGUCCAGCUGCAGUCACUGUAAACAUCCUACACUCAGCUUUAGUGCGGAUGAAUCGCUGAGAGGAGGGUGUUUGCUUUGACUGGUUGGAGAGCCACUGAGAUGCAGAUUGAGGAAGAAAUGGAUAUGAGCACGUAGUUGUAUAAACCUUUUAAUCAGAACGGUGUCACUUUUUUAUGAUUGAUGACCCGAAUAAACUUUUUUUUUUUUUUUUUU